rnacentral:rRNA from 1 species
UACGUAGGGGGCAAGCGUUAUCCGGAUUUAUUGGGUGUAAAGGGAGCGUAGACGGCUGUGCAAGUCUGAAGUGAAAGGCAUGGGCUCAACCUGUGGACUGCUUUGGAAACUGUGCAGCUAGAGUGUCGGAGAGGUAAGUGGAAUUCCUAGUGUAGCGGUGAAAUGCGUAGAUAUUAGGAGGAACACCAGUGGCGAAGGCGGCUUACUGGACGAUGACUGACGUUGAGGCUCGAAAGCGUGGGGAGCAAACAGG